AUGGCAGAAUGCUUUAAUAGGGUGCUCAAGAGUGUACGUGCAUUACCCGUGACGGCAAUAGUUCAAUAGACAUUUGACAAGAUGAAUACAUACUUUUUAAAGUACUCAAUGGAGACGGAUAAGCAAAUUGCUGGUGAGAACAAGGAAAAGCACAAGUACAAUUUGCCACCAAAGGUUGAAGAAUGGUUGUAAUUUCAAUCACGGAAGGCAGACCGAAGAAGUUGUACUUGACGACAACGAUUGGAUGUAUGAAGUGAGAAAGAGCCUGGAGGAAGCACAAACGAUGGCCACCAACACGGAGGCCGGGCUUUCAAGGUCUCCCUAACACGGUGUGAUUGCACUUGCAUGAGGCCAUCCUUGCUUCAUAUCCCAUGCUCGCACUUGUUAAACGCAUCCCAUGUUAGGAAUGUGGACAUCAAUCACCCUCUUACCAUGCGGGAGUUCGAGUUCUCAAUCAUGACGGUCAAGAAUACAUGGGCUUCCCGGUUUCAGCCAUACUUGGACCAAUCACAAUGGCCGGAGUAUCAUGGAUUUCAACUAUGGCCGGACCCGGAAUUGAAGGUCAUUAGACAGGGAAGACGUAAGACAAAGCAUCUUAGAGGUGACAUGGACGGAUGGGGCUGUGGUGGCGGUCGAGAAACCGGCACCGGCCAAUUCCAAGAGCCUCGUGAGCAAUCCCGUUGUGGGAGUGCAAUGGUGGGGACACAACCCAAGAACUUGUACCAAACCAAGAAAGAGAUCAAAGAAAAAUGA
rnacentral:rRNA from 1 species